rnacentral:rRNA from 1 species
UGGGGAAUAUUGCACAAUGGGCGCAAGCCUGAUGCAGCCAUGCCGCGUGUAUGAAGAAGGCCUUCGGGUUGUAAAGUACUUUCAGCGGGGAGGAAGGCGAUAAGGUUAAUAACCUUGUCGAUUGACGUUACCCGCAGAAGAAGCACCGGCUAACUCCGUGCCAGCAGCCGCGGUAAUACGGAGGGUGCAAGCGUUAAUCGGAAUUACUGGGCGUAAAGCGCACGCAGGCGGUCUGUCAAGUCGGAUGUGAAAUCCCGGGCUCAACCUGGGAACUGCAUUCGAAACUGGCAGGCUAGAGUCUUGUAGAGGGGGGUAGAAUUCCAGGUGUAGCGGUGAAAUGCGUAGAGAUCUGGAGGAAUACCGGUGGCGAUGGCGGCCCCCUGGACAAAGACUGACGCUCAG